CACGUAGGGGGCAAGCGUUGUCCGGAUUUAUUGGGCGUAAAGAGCUCGUAGGUGGUUCGGUAAGUUGGGUGUGAAAACUCUGGGCUCAACUCAGAGACGCCACCCGAUACUGCUGUGACUUGAGUCUGGUAGGGGAGUGUGGAAUUCCCAGUGUAGCGGUGAAAUGCGCAGAUAUUGGGAGGAACACCAGUGGCGAAGGCGGCACUCUGGGCCAGUACUGACACUGAGGAGCGAAAGCGUGGGUAGCGAACAGG
rnacentral:rRNA from 1 species